rnacentral:lncRNA from 1 species
CAUGAAGGUGCUAUCACAGUUUACAUUUGAGGCAGACAGGAACUGAACAAUUUGCCAAAGGCCACAGCCUUGUGGCCAGGACAGAUCCAUAUCUGUGCUCUUAACCAUUAUAUGUCCUCUCCCAAAGGGCGUGAACCACAGAUUCUGGAGACAGUUUGGAAGCAAAAUCAAUAGGACUUUGUGACUGGAUACGAGAGAAGGAAGAGUAAAAAAUGCCUGCUGAAUGUUUCGCGUGGUACAUGGAAUGGGUGGCCUUGCCUUUCACAGAGCAAAGCUGCAUGGAGGAUGGUGAGCAGUUUUGGACAUGCUGAUAUUGGAUGACUGUGGGAAAUCCAAGUGGAGAUGUUCAGCCAAGCACUGAACAAAUCAUUUUGGAGUCCAGGAGACAGACCUGGAAAGGGUUGUAGAAGUAAGAACCAAUUGAUGAGAAUACCCAGGGAGAGGGUAAGUACAAAGAAAGCAGCAUUAGAUGGACCCUAAGGCAAAACAACACUUGAGGUAAAACAAGAGAAAGAAGACUCCAAAAAGAUCACUAGAAGUUCGUGAAGACUAUGAUGUCAUAGAAGCCCAGAGAAGGCAUUUCAAGAAGGUGGGGUAGUUGAGAGUAGCCAUUGCUGCUGAAAGGCCAGAGGAAAAGCCUAAAUUUAAGAGUUGUGGUGUGGGUCAGUGUUAGAACAUUUACCUAGCAUGUAUGAAGCUCUGGACAUGAUUCCCUGCAUCACAAAAAAAAUAAAAUAAAGCUAAAUUUGAU